rnacentral:rRNA from 1 species
GACGAACGCUGGCGGCGUGCCUACCACAUGCAAGUCGAACGGAGUUAAGGAGAGCUUAGCUUUCUUGACUUAGUGGCGAACGGGUGAGUAACGCGUGAGGAAUCUGCCUUUCAGUGGGGGACAACAGUUGGAAACGACUGCUAAUACCGCAUAAUGUCAUUCGGAGGCAUCUCUGAGUGACCAAAGAUUUAUUGCUGAAAGAUGACCUCGCGUCUGAUUAGCUGGUCGGUAAGGUAACGGCUUACCAAGGCAACGAUCAGUAGCCGACCUGAGAGGGUGACCGGCCACAUUGGGACUGAGAUACGGCCCAG